UUACAGGAUUUGAAGAAUUCAACUUGCAGACUUGGAGGAUUUGAAGACUUCAACUUGCAGACUUAAAGCAUUCGAAGACUUAAACU
rnacentral:pre_miRNA from 1 species